rnacentral:tRNA from 1 species
GGGGAUGUAGCUCAGUGGCAGAGCAUUCGACUGCAGAUCGAGAGGUCCCUGGUUUGAACCCGGGCGUCCCCU